UUUUUGAGUCAGUGUGAGUCGGUUUGUUCUAGAACCAGUAAAUAUUUCAAAGUAUUGAGGUACAUUUAAGAAUUUAUUGCCCCCCCCCCUUGUGAAAUUUUUACCGAAUUAGAGGGAGGGGAGGGGGGGUAUUUAGAAAAAUGUAUUUCCUACAAACGUGUAUAAGUUUAAUUGAACGAGAAAAAAUCUCACGGCGUUUGGCAAAUCCUUCUUCCUCGUCAACUUUAACAUCGUUUUGCUGUGUAUCCUCUUCAUCCGGUCCAGAAUUUGCAAGAUUUGGAAUCAUUUUUGCGAGUUCACGGAUGUGUAAAUAUAUUUGUCAGGAAUGAAAAGUGGUGGAGGAGACCAGAUCAAGGACAAAGUUAAAUGUUGGAUCCGAAUUAAAAAUAGAAAAGAAGACAAGGUUGCUAAAUAGGAAGGUCAGCUAACCACCUUCUCUCCACGGGCAGACUGAAAAUGCAAACCAAAUUCCGAGACUUACAACGCAAUUUUAAAGGAAUUGAUGUAACUCUUUUAAAUAGAUUGGAAAGAGAGGAAACUAAGGUGACAUCAACCAAAGGGGAAUUCCUUCUUCGCUGUAGGAAAAGAAUUUCUUCUUCGCUUUGCAACAAGAAUGACAUCUUCUCCGCAGGACAAGAAUUACAUCUUCAGUUAAGAAUACAGUAUAUUUAGAUGUGGCUAAAUUUAUUUAGAGAUUAUCCCUUAUAAAUAUGUACCUAAAAUAGGUAAAUGUUUGUGCUCCAAAAUUUCACUCCUGGAAAUAUUGACGUCAAAGCAAAUA